rnacentral:rRNA from 1 species
CUCGGGGUUCAGCAGGCGAGAAAACUUUACAACGCUGGCAACGUCGAUAAGGGCACCUGGAGUGCCAGGCUACAAAUCUGGCGGUCGUGAUGCGUAAAAAGCAGUGCAUAGCAAGGGCCGGGCAAGACCGGAGCCGGCCGCCGCGGUAACACUGGUCGGCUUGAGUGGUAACCGUUAUUAUUGGGUCUAAAGGGUCGGUAUCCGGCCGGGUAAGUUUCUCGGGAAAUGUGGCAGCUUAACUGUCAGGCUUUCAGGAGAUACCGCGAGGCUCGUGGCCGGGAGAGGUGAGAGGUACUUCACGGGGUAGGGGUGAAAUCCUUGUAAUCCAUGAAGGACCACCAGCGGGGAAGGCGUCUCACCAGAACGGAACCUGACGGCAAGGGAUAGAAAGCUAGGGGCACGAACCGGAUUAGAUACCCGGGUAGUGCCUACCCGUAAACGAUACCUCGCUAGGUGUCGCCCAGCGGUGCGGCCGUGGUCGGAGCCGUAGGGAAGCCGUGAACGCGAGCCACCUGCGAAGCACGGCCGCAAGGCUGAAAACAUAAAGGAAUCGGCGGGCGAGCACAAGGGCGAUUCGC